rnacentral:rRNA from 1 species
GGACUACCCGGGUUUCUAAUCCCGUUCGCUACCCUAGCUUUCGUGCCUCAGCGUCAGAAGAGACCCAGUGAGCCGCUUUCGCCACGGGUGUUCCUUAGGAUAUCAACGCAUUUCACCGCUCCACCCUAAGUUCCGCUCACCUCUAUCUCCCUCGAGCACGGUAGUUUUGGGCGCAGUUCCUCGGUUGAGCCGAGGGAUUUCACACCCAACUUUCCGCGCCGCCUACGCACCCUUUAAGCCCAGUAAUUCCGAAUAACGUUUGUGUGGUUCGUCUUACCGCGGCUGCUGGCAC